rnacentral:tRNA from 1 species
GGCCGGUUAGCUCAGUCAGUUGAGUGUGGUGCUGAUUAACACCAAGGUCACGGGUUCGAUUCCUGUUCAGACCC